rnacentral:rRNA from 1 species
UACGGAGGGGGCUAGCGUUGUUCGGAAUUACUGGGCGUAAAGCGCGCGUAGGCGGCUUUGUAAGUUAGAGGUGAAAGCCCGGAGCUCAACUCCGGAAUUGCCUUUAAGACUGCAUCGCUAGAAUCAUGGAGAGGUUAGUGGAAUUCCGAGUGUAGAGGUGAAAUUCGUAGAUAUUCGGAAGAAUACCAGAGGCGAAGGCGGCUACCUGGACAAUUGCUGACGCUCAGGCACGAAAGCGUGGGGAGCAAAAGGG